rnacentral:rRNA from 1 species
UGGGGAAUAUUGCACAAUGGGCGAAAGCCUGAUGCAGCAACGCCGCGUGAGUGAAGAAGGUUUUCGGAUCGUAAAACUCUGUCUUUUGGGGCGAACGUGAGUAUGGUGAACAAUCAUAGUCAGUGACGGUACCAAAGGAGGAAGCCACGGCUAACUACGUGCCAGCAGCCGCGGUAAUACGUAGGUGGCAAGCGUUGUCCGGAAUUAUUGGGCGUAAAGAGCGCGUAGGCGGGAUAGUCAGUCUGUUGUAAAGUGCGGGGCUCAACCCCGUGAUCGCAAUGGAAACAGCUAUUCUUGAGUGCAGGAGAGGAAAGUGGAAUUCCCAGUGUAGCGGUGAAAUGCGUAGAUAUUGGGAGGAACACCAGUGGCGAAGGCGACUUUCUGGACUGUGUCUGACGCUGAGGCGCGAAAGCCAGGGGAGCGAACGGGAUUAGAUACCCCGGUAGUCCUGGCCGUAAACGAUAGGUACUAGGUGUGGGAGGUAUCGACCCCUUCCGUGCCGGAGUUAACGCAAUAAGUACCCCGCCUGGGGAGUACGGUCGCAAGACUGAAACUUAAAUGAAUUGAC